GUUUUUAUAGUUUAAAAAAAACAUUGGUCUUGUAAACCAAAAAUAAUUCAAUAUUUAAAAACU
rnacentral:tRNA from 1 species